GGCAGGAAUCGUCGUAGGGUCGCUAUGGACCACACGGGUAGCUACUACAUAGGGCACCGCGUCAAUGGCAGAUUGGAGGGAAAAGGCACUUACACCCUUCCAACAGGAACCAAAUACAUUGGUGAGAUGAAAGAUGGAAUGUUUCAUGGCAAGGGCACCUUGCACUUCCCCAGUGGGAGCAAAUAUGAAGGAACCUGGGACCACGGAAUAGCCAUAGAGGGGCAAUACACUUUUGCAGAUGGCUUGGAAUACAAAGAGGACAAGUGGCAUUACUGUGAUGGUUAUGACAGACGGUUUUAUACAGAAAUCUGCAAUGGCCUGAAGCCUGCAGGGAUUUCUCAGCUUACAAACUUGGAUCCUCCUCGGCCCAUCCCAGAUGGCUGCUAUGACUGCGGCGAUGGUUUCUACAAUCCUGAAACCAGGGUGGUGGUCGAUUAUAAACACCGGUUUCUAAGGAAUGCAGAUGACGAUGAACACGAGCGGAUCAUCCGUACUUGCCGAAAAGGUUGGGACGAGAUUGUUGGCUUUAUACCAAAAGCAUGAGCUCCCUCAGUGAAGCAAAAAAUCACAAGCACUGUUGGUGUCUAACUUCCUUGUCGAAUGACGCAACCCCUAUAAUUUCUACAUUAAGUUCUGAAACCAAACCUGGAAGGAGAGAAAACCCACAGCAAGGACAUUUUUAGAGAAGGACCAGACUAAACACAAUCUGGCAUCAACAAUAACAUAGGUGCUGUACAGAAAACAGAGGUGGUGUGGUCCCUGCAUAAUGGACAAAAAAUUCUACACUACAUGGAUUACGUAGGGAUGGGAAACUGGUUGAUCAUUAAAGUGAAUGUAGAGGGAUAGAGACAGACAGUAAUGGAUCUAAGAUUAAACCAGAUCACUCAAAACAUCUUUUUCUAGUAGAAUGAGUGUCCUGGAAACCCUCAUCUUUGAAAACAAUGGUUUUGGCAUCUAUAUGUCACUUUAGCCCA